rnacentral:tRNA from 1 species
AGUCUUAUAUUCAAUAAGUGAUUUAAAAUUGCAAAUUUUGAGGGGUAAAGAAAUUACUAAGGCUU